rnacentral:misc_RNA from 1 species
CGACGCCAUAGCCUGCACUCCAAUCCACACAGAAUACAAACUCAUCCUCGAUAGCUGCGAAUAGCAUAACUAAACGGACAGAAGCCACGCACGCAACGUGACAGGACUGGUGUAGGAAGAACACAGACACACGCACAUUACACGCCCACUGCGCAAGCGGGAAGCAAAGACACCAGCACAAAACGUACGCUUCCGUCUUUCCGACAGGCCAGACCACCACCACUCACCACCCGCCACCACGACACACACAGGAAAAAGAAAACGCGCAACUGAUUCCUAAACACUAACAAUAUGUUGCGCCACGCUGCUCGCAGCUUGUCACCAAAGCAAUGCUACAUAAGCCCUCGCGUCAUUGAGGCGGAAUACGCCGUGCGGGGGCUGAUCCCGGCGCGCGCAGAUGAGAUCAAGGCGGACUUGGCCACUGGCCGCGGCUCCUACGCGUUCGAAAGCCUUGUGUACUGCAACAUCGGCAACCCGCAGUCGGUGGGGCAGAUGCCGCUAACGUUCUACCGACAAGUGAUGGCGCUCGUGGAUGCGCCGUCCCUGCUGGAAGAUGCGGUAAUCGCUGCGCGGCUGCCAGAGGACGCCGUUGCGCGCGCGCGCAGGUACCUUGCGGAGAUUGGGACGGGUACCGGCGCGUACACAGAGUCGUUCGGCUACCGGUUUGCGCGCGCUGCCGUUGCCGAGCACAUUAACAAGCUCGACCACGGCGUGAGCCCCGCUGCGACGGUGAACGAUAUCUGUCUGACAGACGGCGCGAGCAUGGGUGCGAAGCUGUUCCUGCAGCUGCUUGUGGGCGGCGCGAGCGACGCUGUGAUGAUCCCGGUUCCGCAGUAUCCGCUAUACUCUGCUCAGAUUGCGUUACUUGGCGGGGUGAAGGUGCCCUACUUCCUGCACGAGUCGGAGGGGUGGGCGAUGAAGUUGCCGGACCUUGUUGCCGCGUACGAGCGGUGCGUGACCGAGAGCGGCGCGACGCCGCGCUUGUUUGUGUGCAUCAACCCCGGGAACCCGACGGGGAAUGUGUUGGAGCGCUGCGUGAUGGAGGACGUCGUGCGUUUCUGCCACGAGCGCGGCAUGCUGCUGCUUGCGGACGAGGUGUACCAGGAGAACGUGUAUGACACACGGCGCCGGUUUUUGAGCUUUCGCGAGGUGGUACUUGGGAUGCCUGAGCCGUACUGCUCGGAGACGAUGCUUGUGUCGCUGCACUCGACAUCAAAAGGAGUGAUUGGUGAAUGCGGGCGGCGCGGCGGGUAUUUCUGCAUGACGAACCUGCCUGCUGCGCUGCGCCAGCAGGUUGUGAAACUGUGCUCGAUCAACCUGUGUGCAAAUGUAAACGGGCAGUUGAUGACUGCGCUGAUGUGCUCGCCGCCGCGCGAAGGCGAAACGAGCUACGCGAUGCACCAGCGCGAGUGCGACGCGAUCUUUACGGGCAUGAAGGAGCGCGCUGAGCUGCUGGCGCGCGAGCUUGGGAAUGUGCGCGGGCUCUCGUGCCAGCCGGUGGAGGGCGCGAUGUACGCGUUCCCGAGAAUUGUGUUGCCUGAGCGGUACGCCCAGCGGAACGAGGAGCUGAACGCGAAGGAGGGUCGGCGGCUUGCGCUGGACGCGCGGUGGGCGCUGGAGCUGCUGGAGUCGAGCGGGAUCGUUGUUGUGCCCGGGUCUGGGUUCGGGCAGGAACCCGGGACGCUGCACUUCCGGAUAACGAUUCUCCCGCCUCUUGAACAGAUCGAUCGGAUGGUGCGUGCAAUCCGCGAGUUCCAGGACCGGAUCUACGAGCAGUACGCGUAAGGAGCUGAGUGUGCGCGUGUGCAUGCGUGUUGUCAAUACAAGCGGGUGAGGCUGUUCUUCUGUAUGAUUUUGGUAAAAAAGAUCACAGUGAGGCCCUCGAUGCGUGCGUGCGCCUGUGCUGUUCUCCUGUGUCUUCUCAUCGCGAGCUGCGUGCGUAGGCUUUGCUUCUUCUCGUUGGCCAUCUCCUCUUCCCCGCCGCCAUCUUUACUUGCACUUGCCCUCCUCGUCUAUACCCCGCCUUUCCGUUUACUCUGCGAGCGUAUGUGUGUGUGUGUGUACGUGUACGUGUGCGUGCGUACGUAGAUACGUGUGCAUACGUGUGCCAGUGCGGAUGUGUAUGUAUGUGUUUUGGCCGUUGUUUUUUUUUUUUACAUAUGCUCGAUAUAUUGGUUAUAUCGCAAUUUUUUUCAGGCUCGCCCGCUUCCGUCCACAUGUCGGAAGGGGAUAUAUGCUCAGCGAAUGAGGUCGCUGUGUGUCCGUAAUGGCGUGCAAACAACCGUGAAAGAGAAGACGCCACGGACACCCACAGUGCCAAAGGUCUGGAGGAGUGGCGGCC